rnacentral:rRNA from 1 species
AGAGUUUGAUCCUGGCUCAGGAUGAACGCUAGCGACAGGCUUAACACAUGCAAGUCGAGGGGCAGCGGGUAGAUGAGCUUGCUCAUUUAUGCCGGCGACCGGCGCACGGGUGAGUAACACGUAUGCAACCUGCCCGUCUCAGGGGGAUAAUCGUCGGAAACGGCGUCUAAUACCCCGUAUGAAGCCGGACGGCAUCGUCUGGUUUUGAAAGAAUAUCGGAGACGGAUGGGCAUGCGGCGCAUUAGCUAGUUGGCGGGGUAACGGCCCACCAAGGCGACGAUGCGUAGGGGUUCUGAGAGGAAGGUCCCCACACUGGUACUGAGACACGGACCAGACUCCUACGGGAGGCAGCAGUGAGGAAUAUUGGUCAAUGGUCGGGAGACUGAACCAGCCAAGCCGCGUGAGGGAGGAAGGUACAGAGUAUCGUAAACCUCUUUUGUCAGGGAACAAAGGCGGGGACGUGUCCCCGGAUGAGUGUACCUGAAGAAAAAGCAUCGGCUAACUCCGUGCCAGCAGCCGCGGUAAUACGGAGGAUGCGAGCGUUAUCCGGAUUUAUUGGGUUUAAAGGGUGCGCAGGCGGUCUGUUAAGUCAGCGGUCGAAGCCCGGGGCUCAACCCCGGCCCGCCGUUGAAACUGGCAGUCUCGGGUUGGAGAGAAGUAUGCGGAAUGCGCGGUGUAGCGGUGAAAUGCAUAGAUAUCGCGCAGAACUCCGAUUGCGAAGGCAGCAUGCCGGCUCCACACUGACGCUGAGGCACGAAAGCGUGGGUAUCGAACAGGAUUAGAUACCCUGGUAGUCCACGCAGUAAACGAUGAAUGCUGGCUGUCCGGGGGGAUUGACCCCUGGGUGGCGAAGCGAAAGCGAUAAGCAUCCCACCUGGGGAGUACGCCGGCAACGGUGAAACUCAAAGGAAUUGACGGGGGCCCGCACAAGCGGAGGAACAUGUGGUUUAAUUCGAUGAUACGCGAGGAACCUUACCCGGGCUUGAAUUGCAGAGGAAAGAUCCAGAGAUGGUGAUGCCCUUCGGGGCCUCUGUGAAGGUGCUGCAUGGUUGUCGUCAGCUCGUGCCGUGAGGUGUUGGCUUAAGUGCCAUAACGAGCGCAACCCCUUUCCCUAGUUGCCAUCGGUUCUAGCCGGGCACUCUGGGGACACUGCCUCCGCAAGGAGUGAGGAAGGUGGGGAUGACGUCAAAUCAGCACGGCCCUUACGUCCGGGGCUACACACGUGUUACAAUGGGUGAUACAGAGGGCCGGCCGCUGGCAACAUCGGUCCAAUCCUUAAAGUCAUCCUCAGUUCGGACUGGGGUCUGCAACCCGACCCCACGAAGCUGGAUUCGCUAGUAAUCGCGCAUCAGCCAUGGCGCGG